GCUCGAGGCAAAUUGUGAAAUAUUGAGAAUGUUCAAUUAAUGGCGACAUUGUUUUGAGGCAUAAGAUAUCAUUUGUACACUGCUCUUGAGAUUUUCAUCAGCGAUAAUUUUCCCUGUGCCAAACCAUUGGAUAGUUUGGAAGUAUCUACUGUGUUAUCCCUUCAAGAAAUAGCUUUCAAAAUAGCCCUAUCGUUGGAUAUUGUCAAGCAAAGAAUACUCACAACCAACUGUCAUUAUUGUCUUUAACGAAAUAAACGAAAUAACUAGAAUUUUGAGUUCCAAUAUAUGCAGAUAAUCAUAACAACUUUGAUGAAAUUGUGUCUGCCGAAUAUUGGUUUAUCAAGUUUUCAUGCAUUGAAAUAGAAAAAUUUGAUCCAGAGUUUUUCACAGUUUUUUCCACUCUUAGUAUCAGAACGAAGGACAAGUGAUGUGGAUUUUACAUCAUGCUUUAGUACAAUAGCAGCUUCUUAUAUUAAAAUUUCUAUCUGCAUGUGUAGUUUAAUAAUGAAGAUUUGAUAAAUAUAGAAAACGACAGUGGGUGAAAAAUUUAGAGCAGUGGGCGUAAAAAUUAAAAUCUUUAAAUGCACAUAGUAACCUCAAAAAGUUUUGAGCAUACAAAACAUAUAUUUUGCCAAUAACAUCAAUAAAUAAUAAUUUGCUGAAAUAACUGGAGAUAAUUCGACAAAAUAUCCUCAAACACCUAAAUUCAAUAAAAGAUAUUCUUUGAAAUGGCUGUAUCUUUUAUGGCAAAAGUUGCCGUAAAGAAGUCAUAAGAAAAGAAUCGAUGUAAAAUAUCUAAAUAACAUACUUUUUCUGUUUUGGGGGGCUUACGUUAUGUUAAGUUUCAAUAAUUAUCACUUACAGACAA